rnacentral:rRNA from 1 species
AUUGAACGCUGGCGGCAGGCCUAAUACAUGCAAGUCGAGCGUGCGGCGGACGGGUGCGUACUGUAUGGGGACUGCCCGUUAGCUGCGGAUAACUACUGGAUACGGUAUCUCAUACCGCAUUCUAUCGGCUUCCCCAUAUGGGAUUAGCUAGUAGGUGAGGUAAUGGCCCACCUAGGCGACGAUCCAUAGCUGGUCUGAGAGGUUGAUCCGACACACGGGGACUGAGACACGGCCCAGACUCCUACGGAGGAAGCAGUGGGGAAUAUUGCACAAUGGGCGCAAGCCUGAUGCAGCCAUGCCGCGUGUAUGAAGAAGGCCCUAGGGUUGUAAAGUACUGUCAGUCGAGAGGCGUUACCGACAGAAGAAGCAACGGCUAACUCCGUGCCAGCCGCCGCGGUAAUAC